UACGUAGGGGUGCGAGCGUUAAUCGGAAUUACUGGGCGUAAAGCGUGCGCAGGCGGUUGUACAAGACAGGUGUGAAAUCCCCGGGCUUAACCUGGGAACUGCACUUGUGACUGUACGACUGGAGUACGGCAGAGGGGGAUGGAAUUCCGCGUGGUAGCAGUGAAAUGCGUAGAUAUGCGGAGGAACACCGAUGGCGAAGGCAAUCCCCGUGGGCCUGUACUGACGCUCAUGCACGAAAGCGUGGGGGAGCAAACAGG
rnacentral:rRNA from 1 species